AGAGCGAACGCUGGCGGCAGGCCUAACACAUGCAAGUCGAGCGCCCCGCAAGGGGAGCGGCAGACGGGAGAGUAACACGUGGGAACGUACCCUUCAGUUCGGAACAACCCAGGGAAACUUGGGCUAAUACCGGAUACGUCCGUAAGGAGAAAGAUUUAUCGCUGAAGGAUCGGCCCGCGUCUGAUUAGCUUGUUGGUGAGGUAACGGCUCACCAAGGCUACGAUCAGUAGCUGGUCUGAGAGGAUGAUCAGCCUCACUGGGACUGAGACACGGCCCAGACUCCUACGGGAGGCAGCAGUGGGGAAUAUUGGACAAUGGGCGCAAGCCUGAUCCAGCCAUGCCGCGUGGAUGAUGAAGGCCCUAGGGUUGUAAAGUCCUUUCGGCGGGGAAGAUAAUGACGGUACCCGCAGAAGAAGCCCCGGCUAACUUCGUGCCAGCAGCCGC
rnacentral:rRNA from 1 species